GAAAGAUCUUGAAGAAUGCACAUUAAGAAGCUUAGUUCCAAGUAACAAAGCUACUAUGUGGAAAUUAGAUCUGGAGUUUUCCUGGAAGUGCUCCAGUGGGAAGAUUACACUGACCUACAUUGUUACUCGUCUGAACAAUUGAUGGGGCUCCUCCAUGACCCUGGCUCCUGCUGGACAUCGGGACUCACGCUCCUCCCACACCACUGCUGCAAGAAGAAACAAAUUGGAAAAACAGAAGACACAGUGUUUGCCCAAUCAAAAGGGAGCUCUCUAGGAUGAAGACAAACACUUGGAAUGAAAGAACAAUGAGAAAACUUUGUGCCUGGGCUUAGAAACUGCCAUAAAAGAAGUACAGUCACUUCUCACCUACCACCUGGAAUCACUUUAUUAGUGCCUAAGAAUUUGGAAAAAUCUGAACUUGUGUUGCACUGGUAAUCUCUAAGAUAUGCUUUACUAUUUACCUAAAUACUUGAUUCUUUUUUCUUGGAUAUUGUUCAUAAGUCUUCCUUAGAUUAUAUGUUCUUUCAGUCCAAGAAUGAUUUUAUUGCUUUUUUUUUCUAUACCCUCCCAUUUCUCCAGAGUGUUGCUGAGCAUAUGAAAUAAGUUUUAAAGAUUAUUUACUUUCAGUGGAUCAUAGAAAGGUG
ensembl:lncRNA